CCAAAGGCUCUUUUCAGAGCCACCCACACGGUCAGAAAAGAGUUG
rfam:Merops nubicus contig9122, whole genome shotgun sequence.